CUCUUUUCUCACUGCUCUCUCUGUCUCUCUUCAUUUCUUUUCUCUCACAAUCUUCUUCAGUGCUCUCUUUUCCUCUCUCUUCUCUGAGCUUGCACUGAGUCAUGUGACUGCAAGAUGUCACAGAGAACACAGACUUUUCUUCACUCUUCUCUUUAUUUUUCUUUUCAGAAUAUUUACUUUUUCUCUUUUCUUUUGUCUAUCUCAUCUGUUUUUCUUCUGUUGUUAGAAGUGCAGACAGUUCUCAGAUCAACUGAGAGAGUUAUCUUUCUUCAUUUAUUAUAAAGUCUUUCAGACACAGCAGCAGCAGUUCUCUUGAGAACCACACUAUAGCUUCAUCAUGAAUGGCCAUACAUUAAGUCAGAAGUGAAUAUACAGCUCAGAAAAAUUCUUUUCAAUAAGCUGAGUCUUCUCAAGAGUUGUCAUCUGAAUUCUGUUUUCUCUCUCUCUGUGUACAUAGAAAUCUCUUCAGCAUAGCAUGUCUUCAUGCUCUUUGAAAGGCUUCUGAAACACAGGCACUGCCCGUGCUUUCUCCAGAACGUUAAACCAAUACAAACAAA
rnacentral:sRNA from 1 species